rnacentral:rRNA from 1 species
AUGUUUCUAAGCCUUGGUGGCCUUCUUCGGGGACUUGGUCGCCUUCUUGGGAGACUUGGGCUCCUUGCCCUCCUUCUCCGCCGUCUUCUUGGGGAGCAGCACAGGGUUGAUCUUGGGGAUCACGCCGCCGUGCGCGAUGGUGACGCCGGCCAACAGCUUUCCGAGCUCCUCGUCGUUCCGGACGGCGAGCAGCAGGUGGCGCGGGAUGAUGCGGCUCUUCUUGUUGUCCUUGGCGGCGUUCCCGGCGAGCUCCAGCAGCUCAGCGGCGAGGUACUCGAGGACGGCGGCGAGGUAGACGGGGGCGCCGGUGCCGACGCGCUGGGCGUAGCGGCCCUUCUUGAGGUAGGCCGCCGGCCUUGCGCCCGGCCGCGCCCUUCUUCCCCUUCGCUGCAGCGCCUGAGACCUCCAUUGCUAAACGACGGCGGUUUUGGAGAAAAGCUGGAAGGGGGCAGAGAGAUUUGGUGA